GGAUCAACAAUGACAACAAAUCUCUGAGGACGGUGAUCAACUCAUACAAAUGGCAACCUGAGGUCC
ensembl:snoRNA